AAAAGAGGACGAGGACUUGCAGUUGUCCAUACAGUUAUAGUGCGAUCCUGACUCCCAAUAGCAAUAACGUUAUAGGGCUGCGAUUCUUUCCCUCCAAUCUUAGAGGCCCCAUUAGCCCACCCAACAGGCGCAGCUUUUACCUCCUGAGCACCAGUGAAAUUCCUUCUAAACAUUGAAUGGUUAAAUUUCACCACAAUAAUGGGGGCAUUAUGUCCUAAGAAAUCAAAUGUGGCAGCCCAUUCCCCUCUCUCUAGAACAGGUGCAGAAUGCCUCGGCUUCUGGAAACCCUGAGGUAGUUAUGAAAUGGCCACAAGGAGACCAUCCAAGCCGCCUGAAAAAUGUAGAACCAAGCGAUUUUGCCCAGUGGCCAUCUGUUCUGUGAGCCAGACUCCAGUCGCUUGUCCGCCAUAUGAUGACUGUCUUAUCAUCAGAUUGACUAGCUAUGAAGGAGCCAAUAGGAUCCCAAGCUACUCCUUUAACCAGGCUAGAAUGACCUCUAAGAACAGCAGUGCAAAUGCCAUUGCUCAUAUUCCAAACAUGGACAGUGUUGUCCAAACUCCCACUAGCUAAUAUGGAGUCAUCUGGAGACCAAUUAAGAUCCACC
rnacentral:misc_RNA from 1 species